AGAGUUUGAUCAUGGCUCAGAAUGAACGCUAGCGGCGUGCUUAACACAUGCAAGUCGUACGAGAACUCUUUAGCUUGCUAAAGAUAGUAAAGUGGCGCACGGGUGAGUAACGCGUGGGUAAUCUACCUCUGAAUUGGGGAUAACAUUGCGAAAGCGAUGCUAAUACCGGAUAAUAUUUCAGGAUCUUCGGGUUUUGAAAUCAAAAGUGGUCUCUACAUGUAAGCUACUGUUUGGAGAUGAGCCCGCGUACCAUUAGCUUGUUGGUAGGGUAAUGGCCUACCAAGGCUACGAUGGUUAGCUGGUCUGAGAGGAUGAUCAGCCACACUGGAACUGACACACGGUCCAGACUCCUACGGGAGGCAGC
rnacentral:rRNA from 1 species